AUUACUGACCAGCUAUCUAAUUCUAUCCAUUAAUCCUAAUUCCUAAGUCCAACUCGUCUGCUGACUCUCCUCUAACUCUAACACUAACUUCAACCCUAAUGCCUCCUUCUCUCAUCUCCUCUCCUCCUCAGUCCUCACGCCUAACUUAACAGUCCUCACACGAUUCACACUGCUCUGUCCAAGUUCCAACGACGGCAGGACUCAAGCACCUUACACCAAGGGACUAUUUGCUUUCCUUUAUCCCUUUUCAGGGCAUCUUUAGAUGAUGGAUGAAAGUCAUGAAACUGAUAGCGUACCUAAUACAGAUGAUGGCUACUGUUUUUUGUAUUAGUGAUGGAUCAGCAGCCAGCCAAUCCAUGGAACCUAUGCAGUAUGCAGCAAGUGCAAGAAGCUAAAUGUGUUGUAAGGAUAAUUCCUAUUUGGGCUGCAGCAAUUAUAUACCAUAUUGCAAUAAUUCAGCAGCUUGAGUAUUUGUUGAACUGCUUAUCACUGUGGGUUGCUGCUACUGAUUUUUGUAUCUACGACUGCUACUGAUUUUUGUGCCAACUUGGCUGCUGCUACUGAUUUUCGCUGCUGCUACUUACUUGGCUACUGCUAUUUUUCCUUGGCUACUGCUAUCUGCUACUUAUUUUUCCUGUUUCGUGACAUCUCAAAACAUGAAACAAUUGUAUAUAGUAUUGUCUGCUACGACCAAUCAAUCAAGUAUCCCAGUCUCCAACAAGUAGAAAACCGAAUUAAAAAACCGAAACCGAACCGAACCGAACUUCAAAAAACCGAACCGAACCGAACUAAUUCGGUUCGGUGUUCGGUGUCAACUUUCAAAAAACUGAAACCGAAAAAACCGAACCGAAGAACCGAACGCCCACCCCUAGUUCUAGAUUUGUUUGCUUCAACAAUUUCAAUUCAAGUUUUAUGUGUUCUCUCAAGGUUGGUUUGUCAUUUUGCUAUCAACUAAACUAAAGCCAACAGUAAUAUCACGACGGAAUUCCUCCACGGGUUCUGUUGAAGAAGAAAGAUUUCCACUGAGAGAAGGACGGACGAAAUAAUUACACGGUCAAAGGAGGAACAUGACUAAGCAUAGUCUAAGAGGCCGAUUCCAAAUUCCAUUUUGUACACCAUUCAUCUGGAUGAAGUAGGCUUUUGUUUCUCUAUUAUUUAAUUUAAUGUGCUUUACAACUUUUAUCAA